CCUACGGUGCUAUCACUCUAGCUGGAAAGGAUGGAGAUUUUACAGUCAAUGGCCAGAAGCUUAAGAGAUACAUGGCAAAUCAAUACAUUCCAGAAGGAACUUCUGUUCCUUUGGAGGAACCUCUUAAUGCCUAAUAAGUGUGAGGAGUCAGGCUAGAGACUUAAAACAAGCUCACUUGGGAGGAAGUCCCAUGACUAUCUCUGUAAAUAAUUUUUCCUUUCUUGUUAUUUUUGAUUUGUUUUGAUUGUGUUUGUGGUUCUCAGGAAUGGAGAAACAAUCUGGAGAUAGAGUAAAAAUUCAAAAAAUUCUACCAAGGACAUGGGGAUCGAGUAUAUCAGCCCGGUGGAGUCCAAAAAUUUUA
rnacentral:lncRNA from 1 species